rnacentral:lncRNA from 1 species
UCUUUUUCUGUUGCUUUGAAACUUUGAGUAUCUCAUUUAAGAGAAUGAGAGUUUAAAUAGGAGGAAAUCCAAAGCUAAAUUGUGAAUGAUUUGACUUUAUCUAAAUGUACUUCAGUUUAUUCACACAAUGAGAGUGACCUAAACACCUCUGUUUUUGUCAUAAGAUAGCAUUAAGAGCAUAUGCUAAGGAGUCAGGUAUGAGCUUCACGCUCUGGCUUAUUCCUGCGUGACCUUGGCAAGUCAGUUAAUCAGUGUAAACUCGAGAACAUUUACCUGUAGAAUUUGUGUAAUAGUAAGUCCCAAAUUCAUGGAGGUGACCAGAGGAUUAGUGUACAGAAAUAGUUUGUUUAUCUAGUACUUUUACCUCCACUACCUUGACUGCUAAUUAAUAUUCUUCAUAAGGUAAACUGCAGUGACAUUGUGAUGCAGUCACUUCUCUCCAGAGUGAGUGCACUCGGGGUUGGAUUGAGAUGAAGAAUUCAUUAGAUAUUUGUGUUUUAAAUGCUUGCAGAAGGAAUAUGAGGAUCUCCUUAGAGAGGUCAUAAUUCUCAUCAGCUGCUCUGAAUUCAUCCAUCUGCAGUAAAGAAAUACUAUACAGCUCUUAGCUGCUUAGUGUGGGAGGCUUGUGGAGUAGAAUCCACGCUACCAUGGUUGGAUCUUGUAAGCAAAGUGGUUCUUCUCUAGGAAUUAAAAGGAUCACUUGCUGGGUACAGCCCGGAAUGUUGGGAACCUGGGUAGGUGGGCAUUUCCCAGUCUUCUUCUCAGCGUUGGUAGGUCUUCCGGGGUUUGGGGAAGUGCUGUGCACGCCAUCCCUUUUAGGAUGCAGUCAGCACAGCGGCUGUCAACACCUCCCACAGCUGAGUGCACUGUGGGAAGCCGGCCUAGACUCAUCCAUACACACUGGAAAUGGACAGGAAGCAGGAGCUGUGAGGGGCAGCUGAACCAUUUUGGAUCUGUGUCAAUCUGAGAAAGUGAUUUAAGGCUGACUUCA